UACACAUCUCUCUGAGGAAGUGACUAACACCCAACCACCUCGAUAACAGACAGAACUUCUCAUGGGCAGACAGUGGCUGAUCAGGGGCAGCCAGGGAGCACCCACACACCGCACAGCCACCUCCACGAAGCCAUGCUGUGGACCUGUCCCCUCUUCUACCUCACCCUCUUCUGUGCAGGGGUCUCACUGGAUAUCAUUUUGGAACCAGAAACCAAAACCCUGACUGUUCUAGUUGGAGAGCCUGCCACCUUCCGCUGCAACGUAACAGGAGGGGACUUGAAGAACUAUCAGGUGAGCUGGUAUAGGAAGAAUGAAGAUAACUCCCUGACUUUAAUAUACAGACAGAGCAACAAUACCAAUGACAAUUUAAGGAGUAAUUUCAAAGGAAAUACCGAUGCUUCAAAGAGUCAAUGUAUACUCGACAUUGAAAAAGCAACAACAGCAAACGCCGGUACCUAUUACUGCGCAGCAGAUAUCCACAGUACUCCAGGCCUGCUUCUGGUCGCCUCAGAACCUCUGGGUCUAGCUGAGCUGGCAGAGCCAAUGAGAGACCAUCUGUGGUUAAAAUGUGUGCCAUACCCGCGCUGAGACCACCUGAUCACCUCACAGCAACAUCUGAUAAGAGAGGUGAUUCUGAUGCAAGUGGGUUCAAGGACAUACUUUGAGAAAUUCUGCUGUAAGCAGCAAAACUCUUAGUUUAAUACAAGGAAGAUGUAGCCAGCUUCUCCUGCCCUCGCUACAGAGAAAUGGACAUUAGAUGUGGUCAAGGUAUCUCUUGAACAAUGGCUCUCAAUUCCAAUUGCAUAUUUUAAACACCUGCGGAAAUUCUUUAAAAAUACCAAUGUCUGGAACACAUCCCCAGAGAUGCUGAUUGAACUGGUGUGGGCAUGGAGCUCUGGUUUCCCACGUAAUCCAACCUCUCUCCCCUACUCUUUCCUCUUCCCUUUUCCAGUCUAAGAUCUUGCUGUUUCAAGUGUGGUCUCUAGAUAGCAUCAGCAUCACUUGGAAUUUUGUCAGAAUGCAGAAUCUCAUGCACCACCCUUGAUCUAGUGAAUCAGAAUCCGCAUUUUAAUAAGAAUUCCUUGGUGAGUUAUAUGCAUAUUAAAGUUUGAGAGGCACAAGUCUAGGGAAGCCAUCACUAUUGAAAAAUUUCAUUGAAGUGGAGAAGUAUAAAUCUGUUUUUCCCAAAUGCCACCCAAAAAAAUCCAUAUUUGUAAAAAGCUCCUAAAGGGAUGCUGCUGUGCAGCCAGGUGUGGGACUCAGGACAAGCAGUCAG